CGGGACGGGUGGAGUAACGCGUGAGCAACCUUUCCUUGACAGGGGGAGUAAGAUCUCGAAAGGGGUUCUAAUACCGCAUAGGACCACAGCGCCACAUGGCGCAGGGGUGAAAGGAGGAAUCCGGUCAAGGGUGGGCUCGCGUCUGAUUAGAUAGUUGGUGAGGUAACGGCUCACCAAGUCAACGAUCAGCAGCCGACCUGAGAGGGUGAUCGGCCACAUUGGGACUGAGACACGGCCCAAACUCCUACGGAAGGCAGCAG
rnacentral:rRNA from 1 species